GCGGGUGCUCUGCUCCCAGGAGAAGGAGCUGCCUGGACAGACGCCGCAGUGGGGGCCGGAGGCCACGGUACCGACUGGGGCAGCUGGAGGGAAGAUGGCGGACACUCCUCGCUCCCCCGGCCUCCAGCAGACAAAACCCGGGGUGAUCCAGCCACUGGCUCAGGCCUGGCCAAGGGGCUCCCCGGCCCCCAGGGGCAGAGACAAUUCCUGCUCUGUGAGUGCCCUGACCCGCGGGCCGGGCCGGGGGUGGAGGUCGGAGCUCAGAGUGAGCAGCUGUGGGCCUGGUGGGUGGUGGGGUGG